AGUGAACGCUGGCGGUAGGCCUAACACAUGCAAGUCGAACGGCAGCACAGUAAGAGCUUGCUCUUACGGGUGGCGAGUGGCGGACGGGUGAGGAAUACAUCGGAAUCUACUUUUUCGUGGGGGAUAACGUAGGGAAACUUACGCUAAUACCGCAUACGACCUACGGGUGAAAGCAGGGGAUCUUCGGACCUUGCGCGAUUGAAUGAGCCGAUGUCGGAUUAGCUAGUUGGCGGGGUAAAGGCCCACCAAGGCGACGAUCCGUAGCCGGUCUGAGAGGAUGAUCAGCCACACUGGAACUGAGACACGGUCCAGACUCCUACGGGAGGCAGCAGUGGGGAAUAUUGGACAAUGGGCGCAAGCCUGAUCCAGCCAUACCGCGUGGGUGAAGAAGGCCUUCGGGUUGUAAAGCCCUUUUGUUGGGAAAGAAAAGCAGCAGGUUAAUACCCCGCUGUUCUGACGGUACCCAAAGAACAAGCACCGGCUAACUUCGUG
rnacentral:rRNA from 1 species